rnacentral:lncRNA from 1 species
UCCACAUGGGGGUGGGGGGAAACAGAGAUACAAGAGGAUUGUCUCGUCUAGAAGAGAGGUUUCCAAACCUGGCUUUUCUUGUGCAGCGCCCUUCAUAACACAUGGCCCUGCUCCCAAUCUUAUCCCAGUCAGAAAUCGACGGGCUCACACCCACAAGCGGAAGGAAUCCCUCCAGUCCAUCUCCAGUAAAAAUACCUGAACACCAAAGGUUGACAAGUCUUGAGUCUUCAAAACAAACGUAGAAACUUCCAGAUUCUUCAGAUUACUUGAAAGUUCCAGGGACAUAUACAAACUAUUCAAACUUUUCCUUUUGUUUCCUACCAUGAGAAAUCCUGGACACAAAGAAAAAUCUUAUAAUGGACCACUAGCAUUCCUUUCCUUCCCUUCUCCUUCAUAAACAAUAGACUUACUGUACUCCAGUAAUGAUAUACAGACACUCUGGUAUACUCACAAAGAUAAUUCUGCAAUCCAGGUUAUUUCUGUAAGAAGCAACGAAGAUAUGCAAUGUCAGUACUCAGACCUGAAACAUGAAAGAACCCUGAACACUGUGCUGUGUAAUGGCAGCUCUAAGAAUUCACACAACAAAAAGUAUGCUCUGUUGCUAGAAUCUCAUUUUUAAAAGAAAUAUACACCA